AUUGAACGCUGGCGGCAUGCCUUACACAUGCAAGUCGAACGGUAACGGGCCUUCGGGCGCCGACGAGUGGCGAACGGGUGAGUAAUACAUCGGAACGUGCCCGAUCGUGGGGGAUAACGAGGCGAAAGCUUUGCUAAUACCUCAUACGAUCUACGGAUGAAAGCAGGGGACCGCAAGGCCUUGCGCGGACGGAGCGGCCGAUGGCAGAUUAGGUAGUUGGUGGGAUAAAAGCUUACCAAGCCGACGAUCUGUAGCUGGUCUGAGAGGAUGAUCAGCCACACUGGGACUGAGACACGGCCCAGACUCCUACGGGAGGCAGCAGUGGGGAAUUUUGGACAAUGGGCGCAAGCCUGAUCCAGCCAUGCCGCGUGCAGGAUGAAGGCCUUCGGGUUGUAAACUGCUUUUGUACGGAACGAAAAGCCUUCUUUUAAUACAGGAGGGUCAUGACGGUACCGUAAGAAUAAGCACCGGCUAACUACGUG
rnacentral:rRNA from 1 species